rnacentral:rRNA from 1 species
CAGUGUACCCGCGGCAAGACGGAAAGACCCCGUGAACCUUUACUAUAGCUUGACACUGAACAUUGAGCCUUGAUGUGUAGGAUAGGUGGGAGGCUUUGAAGUGUGGACGCCAGUCUGCAUGGAGCCGACCUUGAAAUACCACCCUUUAAUGUUUGAUGUUCUAACGUUGGCCCCUGAUCGGGGUUGCGGACAGUGUCUGGUGGGUAGUUUGACUGGGGCGGUCUCCUCCUAAAGAGUAACGGAGGAGCACGAAGGUUGGCUAAUCCUGGUCGGACAUCAGGAGGUUAGUGCAAUGGCAUAAGCCAGCUUGACUGCGAGCGUGACGGCGCGAGCAGGUGCGAAAGCAGGUCAUAGUGAUCCGGUGGUUCUGAAUGGAAGGGCCAUCGCUCAACGGAUAAAAGGUACUCCGGGGAUAACAGGCUGAUACCGCCCAAGAGUUCAUAUCGACGGCGGUGUUUGGCACCUCGAUGUCGGCUCAUCACAUCCUGGGGCUGAAGUAGGUCCCAAGGGUAUGGCUGUUCGCCAUUUAAAGUGGUACGCGAGCUGGGUUUAGAACGUCGUGAGACAGUUCGGUCCCUAUCUGCCGUGGGCGCUGGAGAACUGAGGGGGG